CAAGUCGAACGGUAACAGGAAGAAGCUUGCUUCUUUGCUGACGAGUGGCGGACGGGUGAGUAAUGUCUGGGAAACUGCCUGAUGGAGGGGGAUAACUACUGGAAACGGUAGCUAAUACCGCAUAACGUCGCAAGACCAAAGAGGGGGACCUUCGGGCCUCUUGCCAUCGGAUGUGCCCAGAUGGGAUUAGCUGUUGGUGGGGUAACGGCUCACCAGGCGACGAUCCCUAGCUGGUCUGAGAGGAUGACCAGCCACACUGGAACUGAGACACGGUCCAGACUCCUACGGGAGGCAGCAGUGGGGAAUAUUGCACAAUGGGCGCAAGCCUGAUGCAGCCAUGCCGCGUGUAUGAAGAAGGCCUUCGGGUUGUAAAGUACUUUCAGCGGGGAGGAAGGGAGUAAAGUUAAUACCUUUGCUCAUUGACGUUACCCGCAGAAGAAGCACCGGCUAACUCCGUGCCAGCAGCCGCGGUAAUACGGAGGGUGCAAGCGUUAAUCGGAAUUACUGGGCGUAAAGCGCACGCAGGCGGUUUGUUAAGUCAGAUGUGAAAUCCCCGGGCUCAACCUGGGAACUGCAUCUGAUACUGGCAAGCUUGAGUCUCGUAGAGGGGGGUAGAAUUCCAGGUGUAGCGGUGAAAUGCGUAGAGAUCUGGAGGAAUACCGGUGGCGAAGGCGGCCCCC
rnacentral:rRNA from 1 species